AUCAUUUUUUGAAAACACUUUCUUCCUUUGAAGCGUUUCUGCCUCCUUCCUCCGGUCCCUCUCUCUAUAAAUCUCAAGAGAGCGAGGAGCGCGAAGGAGAGAGAAUAGGGGUCGGUCGACAGAUCCGGAGAGGGAGGGAUUCUUCCGGUGGAGUUUCUCGUUGCGCAGUCGGGGUGAAGUCCACCCUCCCCCUCCGCUUCAGCAGCGGCGGCGCCCCCCUCUGUCGGUGCAGGCGCUGGCUACUCGAUCCGAGAGCUUCCGCACCCGCCAGGCCGGCUGCCGCAGUGAGGAAUUCCGUUUCGGUAGUGGGCAGACUGACAUAAGCGUGUUUCCUGCUGUCUGUAGCUCACGGAAGGGACAUUAAAUAAUGGACUCCAGAAGCUGUCAAGUAAAACUAAUGGUUGGAGUAAUUGAUGAGGUGAUAACUCCCGCUGCUCUUGCGGUUCCUGAGACAUCCAACCUUGAAGAUGGUGCAAGGUUCUGAAUACUGGACCAUGUCUUCCAGUUGAAACAAAAUACCAUAGACUUCCAGUCGUCGACGGUGAUGGUAAAUUGGUUGGGAUUAUUACAAGGGGAUUUCGUCGUUAGAGCAGCGCCGCAAAUAAAGCAUGAAAACAAGAAACAUUCUCGAGUCUAAGAUGGAAAUCACGUAAGUCACUAUCACUAUUUACGAGUUCAUAUUAGCGGCUGAUAUCUUACGCAUCCUUCGUCUCAGCCAUCGCAGAAAUUAUCCUGUGACAUAGGAACCCCAUAACACCGGCAUCACUAGCUUCAGAUACCAUAUUCAUGUUCUCUAGGUCUUCGACCAUGCCUUCUCUUCAUUAGUUCCAAGAGUCACCUUAAUAUAUUUAAUGUUUUCUGCACCGGUCUCAAAUAGAAAAAAGUCAUGUCAGCUACCUACCGAAUGAUGAGUGAUGA